AACUAUGUAAAAUAUUACUUAUUGUUAGUUCUAGAUUAAGAAAUACGGAUUAUACGGAAAUAAAUUUUGCACGGUUGCAAUAUAAUAUUGCCACAAUAUUGUGCAAUAUCUGUUAGAAAAUAUGACAUUUGUAUUAUUGCUACAAUAUUGCACAACAUCUGCUAAGAAAUAUUACAUUUGUAAUAUUGCUGCAAUAUUGUGCAACAUUUGCUAGGGAAUAUUAUAUUUGUAAUAUUGCUACAAUAUUUCUGCAAUAUUGGUUAUAUUAUGCACUAUUGCAAUAUUUCUGCAACGUUGCAGCAAUAUUUCAUGCUGUAGAGGUAUUGACAGUUACUAGUCAUAGUAAGGUAGCUGUAAAGUUAAAGUUAAAAGCAUGCCAAAGCUAGUCACGCGUAUUCAGGAGUAUUAUUUGAUUACGCUUAUCAUUAUCAUUUUAAGAUUAAAUAUUUCAUUUCUUUUGACAUAUGCAUUAUGCAUGUGGUACGCAGUGACGUGACCUGUCACUAUUAUAUUUUAUGUUUUGGGCAUGUAAAAGUAUAUAUAUUCUUGUUUAAAAUCAUUUAUUUAGUUACUAAGUUAGUUGUAAGGAAAACAUAAAUCCGGUGCCACCAAAAGUGCAGCCGGUGCACGUAGGCUUUGCCUACAUAUCAAACGUUACAUCGACAUCGGCACUUUUCAGUGCCACGAACUGUUCUCGUCCUCUUAGAACGAAGGCGAGAGUCCGAAUAACACCAUUGGCUGAAUCCCAAGUGGAAGGGAGCGCAGCCAAGCACGUCUUCCCGGAUUGGCCAGACGAUCUCUACAGCGGAUGCAAGCAGCGGGGCGAGUUCCUGUUGGACGACGAACACGGAGGGAACGCGGAAGCUCGCUGAUUGGCUGACGGAAGCGUGCAGGACAGGAAGACUCUACCAUUGGCGAAGGGAGUCUGAGAGGGGGCGAGCACGUAUAAAAGCGUGCGACGCGUGCUCCCACUAAUGAGUUUCGUCGAAUCUUUCAGCGAAGACACAUCGUCGAGUGUCGCGAAAGAUUUCGUGUUACAUAUAUACGUCACGGGCGUGGUCUUAGUCGCGCGUAACAACCGGGCGUUUUAUCGUUCCGCGGGCGAUGCGCUGCGUUAUCAAGGGCGUAAUAAAUUCACGCGACGCGAUGCCGACGCUGUCGAGCGUAAGUGCGCGAGACUUUAAAAAGCAAAAGCUAGCGGCGUGAUAAAUAUCUUUGCGAUAAUACGCGAACACUGACGAGUCGCUGAAUGCGAGUAAGCGACGCUACGCAAGUUACACCUGUUACACCUCGCGAACUCUAAGUAUAAUAACCGAACACGACUGUGAAGAAACAUCACGUUCGGGAAAACUGUGAUACACAAAAACAUAGGAAUACAACGAAGUUCCGGACACGAGUGUGAAAUGAAGCGACGCGAACGGGGAGUUGUUAUAGUGAUUAAGUUUUUUGAAUAAAUUUUUAUUGUGUGUUACUGAAAAGAUAUACACUGUUUCAAAGUUUCUUGACAUCCUGCUUCGCUCUUGCACGAAAUCCUGUGAUGCGAAUUCCUGUGGAACCUGAAAAUAAAUAAAGGGAAUUAAUGCAUGUCCAGUGAAAAUAACAUAAUUGAAAAUACACUUACCUGGUGAUAUUCUGUGAGUGAAACGAUCCUCAAGACAGCGGUGAUCCGACGGCGAGGGAGAGACGAUCCUGGUUGACGGCGGUGAUCCGACGGCUGCAGCGAGACCUGAAACAGAGAACAGAGAUUAGUGAUUACAGUUAUUCCUUGCCUCUGGGAGGUGAAAGAGGCUGGCGAUCAGUGCUGAGACACGAUCAUCAUUCAACAAAGGGCCGCAUGCUGAGCCAAUCCCGUCGACAUCAGGAACGCAAAAAAGGGCCGAGACGGAGACCAAAAGGUACCAGGCAACCAAGACGGAGAAGAAGACGAUAAAGGGGAAAAGUAUCAUAAGCGUUACUCUCUAAAGGACGGAUGACACCCCGGACCGGAAAAUUGGACAGAAACAACACCGGGACACCUAAAACACGAAAAACAACACACAUUAAACACAGUUCCACAACCACGCAUAUUUUUUAUACAAGUUUAUGUUAUUUUUGAUACCAGAUAUCUUUAACACAAGCCUUUAUGUAUUUUAUCAUUUCAGUUUAUUUUACAAUAAAGAAAAGUCGCGUGCAUAUGUUGCGAUACUAACAACAACACACAAACACACUGACUACACGAAAACAAGUAAACUUAAGAAAAUCGUGUAUUACUUAAUAAAUAUAUAUUUUAUAGGUUAUAUUAUACGUUAUUAGUAAUUUAGGCUAAGUCUACAUGUAUUAUAUUCAUAUUCUCUCGCGAGAAAUAUAUAGCGAUUUCGCGCGCAAACCAUCGUCGGCCAUUUCGUGGCACAGUGCGAUCGUGCGAACAAAGGCGGAAGUUUCGUGAUUACCACGAUAGCGUAAUUAAGCGUGUGACGAGAGCCGAAUGCGAGUAGGCUCACGUAAGAAGCAGGAACUCGAUAACGCGUUUGUGAAAAAGCCGCGCGGUCGGGUACUGUGAACUAAGUCUAAAAGUGAUAAUUAAUAAACACAUUUUCAUUUGUUACUGUUACAUACACUCGUUGUUAUACUUACCUUUCCGUGCGAGAAAUCCUAUCCUACGAACAUACUCUGGGGACCUAAAAGUAAAGUAUCUCGUAAAGACUGGGACAAGGGUGAUACAUAACCUAGAAAUCUGGGACUUACCUGUGGAUGAUCCUGGGAGAUUGCAGCGAUCCGGAAGUGUUCCUCUGGGAUGUGGACAGCACCUGAAAAAAAAAA